GAAAAAAUCACAAGAUUUCAUUACAUGGCAAUUCCAGAAUUGGAUCAUAUAAAUACAGUAGAGAAGUUGAAACUUUUGCAAUACCAUUACAGGCAAAACAGAAACAAAACAGGAAUACUGAUCAAGAAUUUAUACUAAAAUUAUCAAUAAUUUAUACUAAAAUUAACAAGUAAAAAUUAAAUCCAAACCCUUUAUUUCAAAUUUUAAUAUCCAAACAUAACAUAAAAGAAAAAUGAAUUCUCUCCUUUUUCAUGAUGUUUACCAAUGUAUGCAUGUGUAGAUUCCGUAUUCAGCUAUCUUCUCCACUCUGCUCAGCUUAAAAUUUAUGGUUAGUUGUUGCUGGUUUUCAUCCCUGGAUGAUCUUUGUUGUACUUUUCCAUAAGUUGGUUUAGCUCAUUUUCCAACUCUUUUUCCAACUCAAGCAGCUCUUCCCAAUAUCUCUUCAUAAUUGAACUCUUUUUGUCUUCAUGAUUCUCCAUCAGCUUCUUCCUCUCUGCUUCAAAUUCUUCCAUUUCUUUAUCCUGAAUUUUUAUGAAACUAACAAUGUCCUCCAUCCUAUUUGCACAGAGAUUUCAAAAACAAUGCAAGUCGCGUGAGCAUAGAAUUGCACGCAACAAUUUGAACUCCUAGCUAUGGAUUUUUGAUUAAUCAAUACAAUGAUAGGGUAUGCAUUUCUUAACAAGCUAAAAGGAAUUGCACUUAUUCUGACUGAAUGCUUUCUAGCCUAGAUUGUUGUUGUUCAUGUAACUGGUUUACCUACAUCACAAGCAGCUGUUUUUUCUAGGGACAAUGUUAGUUUAGCAUGCUAUAGGGGAGGUACUUACCGACUUGUAUACUUUAUGGUAAAAAGAUUUGCAUUUGACUGCUCAACUUUCUCCCACUUUUCCUGUUGUAACUUCUCAAAAUUAUCUUCUUUUGCAUCAAUAGCUAGAUGUAUAAUUUUUAUUUGAUCCUUGAAAAUUUGUUCUUGGGAAUCCAUCUUCCUUCAGCUGAAAACUGUCAGAAUUGUUGCUUGCAUGUGCUGUUCCUUUUCUUUUUCUUUUUGGACCACAAGUUUAAAUUGUGUAAAGCCUUUUAAUAGUCAAACGUUAGCGUGUAAAACUAUAUCUGCAUAAAACAUAUGCAGAGUAUACACAUGAGUUCUUGAAAUAUAUUUAACACAAAGAAACCAUGAUAAAUAAUAACAUUCUCAUAGGUUCCUUGCAUCUAAUAGAUAUAUCAAUUUAAGCAAAAUACCAGCAUCAUGCCAGAGCACAUGGUAUUAGCGCUUAAGUAGAAGUCACAAUGAAAUCACAACACAUGAUAAUAAUAACAACAAUUUGCAAUAAAAAAAUAUCACCUCUUCCCUGUUUUCUUCAAGCAGCAACUUAGUUCGCUGUCCCAUACCGCAACUCUUUUCUACACUCUUGGGCAGCUCCUUGCUCAAUCUGCUUACUGACUCAGCUAGAACUUUCGAAUGCUUUUGUUCUUGAGCAAUCUUGUCCUUAAACUUGACGAUUUGUUGGCUAUUCUCAUUUAUUUGCUUUAUUUGUCUCUCAACCAUCUCUUGGUAUGACCUCAUCUCAUAUUUCAGCUUGGACCUCCCUUGAGAAUGCAGGUUGAAAAUAUCCAAAUCUUUUUUCAAAGCCAUGUACCCAUAGAGCUGGCGCUUCCCACCUGAACAACAUGAAACUCGAUUACUGUCCCAGGCAUUCCUGUCUCUUCCUUGGUCUUUGAAGUGCUUGUGCAGACGAGCAGCCUCUAAAUAACCAGCUGCUGUGUCAUCAAAAAUCAACAUACUCAUCCCUCUAUGCCCUUGUGGACCAUACGAAUGCCUAGCCUUCAAUGCAGCAUAUGAUUUGAAGUGAUCCAGAAGCUCUUGGUUUCCCAUGCCAAUCCACUUGCCAUUUUCCUCCUGCUCAUAUCUUGUGUUCAUGAUGACAACCAUUGGAGGCCAAACAAUUUCAUAAUCUUUGACUCUCUCAUUUAGACCUUGCCACCUGCCAAAGGCUACACCAAGUGGAGACAGUGAAAGUCCCUUCUUCCGUGUCUCUUCAUCCAAAAGUUCAGCAAAUACGCGAUGGAGCUUUGCCCUUCUUGUCUUUCUCAUCAUGGCAUGAUACAUUAAGGGCUCCAGACCUCGAUACCAGUCAAUGGCACCAGGACCCCCUAUGCAAGCAGGGCAAUGCCACUUUCUUCCCGGUGAAUUCAGCUCCUCAACGGUCAGUUUUUCCAAGUCAUCAAAGAAUCCCUUGAACCAUUUGUUCUUCUUACGCAUUUCGUGGCUCUUUUCACUCGUAUAAAAAUCAAAAUCAUCCUCAGAAAGCUCAUCAUCACUACUGCCAAAUAUCUCCUCUUCGUCAUCACUGUUAUCAACAAUCCCAUUCUUAUCAUCAAUAACGCCACCAUCUUGGCAGUUGGGGAGUUCAUCCUUCUUCCUCUCUUCCCCACCAUUCAACUGAGGGGAACCAACUUGAGUAGUAGUCCCAUUCUGUCCCUGCUUAAUACAGUUGUUCCGUUGAGAAGGAAAGUCAUUUCCAGAGCUGGAGAAAUUCUGGAAACCACCAAUUUGAUUUGUCCUGGCAUUGUCAUAUCUUUGUAUCCCAAGCUUAUGCAUCAAAUUUGGACAUCCCCAUGCACCAGGAACAGAGAUCUGAGGACCACGGCCUUCUGCAGGAAUCUUUCCAUCGUUAUGUGCAGAUUUUCCACUGGCAUUUGCUACAUUUUCACUCGACAACUUAACAUGGCUACCACCAGAACAUUUUCUAUACACACUCCCCAGCCGAGGAAAUGGAUCACCGUUAUCAUCCAUGAUGUGGGUCAUUAACUGCCUUAACCAGAAGCUUUCUUUGUAUCAAAUGCUGUCCUGCAGGUAAUUUCAGUGGAUUGGCACACAGAGGAAUAUCAGCUCUGCCGAUUCAGUCUUCAGAGAUAAAUGUUUCCUUAUAUAAUGGCUUACCGCUAGGAUAAGAAGAAGGAGCUAAAAGAAAAAAAGCUGCUAGAUUCGAG
rnacentral:misc_RNA from 1 species